UGGCGAAAGGGUGCGUAACAACGUGGGAAUUUACCGAGAAGUGGGGAAUAGCUCGACGAAAGUCGAAUUAAUACCGCAUAUGAUCGCAAGAUCAAAGCCGGGGACCGCAAGGCUGGCGCUUUUUGAGAAGCCCGCGCCAUCAGCAAGUUGGCGGGGUAAAAGCCCACCAAGGCUAUGACGGGUAGCUGGUCUGAGAGGACGACCAGCCACACUGAACUGAGACACGGUCCAGACACCUACGGGUGGCAGCAGUCGAGAAUUUUUCACAAUGGACGAAAGUCUGACGGAGCGACGCCGCGUGGAGGAUGAAGGUUCUUGGAUUGUAAACUCCUGUCACUGCAGAGCAAGGUUACCACAUGUGAAUAGCGCGUGUAGUUGAUGGUAUGCGGAGAGGAAGGGACGGUAAUUCUGUGCCAGCAGCCGCGGUGAGACAGAGGUCCCGAGCGUUGUCCGGAUUCAUUGGGCGUACACGGGUGUGUAGGAGGUCGGGAAAGUCCGUGUGUGAAUCUCAGAGCUUAUUCU
rnacentral:rRNA from 1 species